GAAAGUGUAUAAAUACCAAAGCGCCUCAGGAUAUCGAAUUAGAUCAGUAGUGCGAAUUUCAGUGCCAAAAACUCCUCUCAACAAGCAAAUACUUUAUACUAACGGUCGACUACUACUUAAAAGCUCAAGAAAUAUCAUCAUUAUUUAUAUUGGAUUAACUCAUUGGUCUCGAACGAAUUAUUUCUAAAUAAAAAAUAAAAACCGAUUUGAUAACUUGACAGUAAAUUCACAUUCCAGCCCCUCUAAAAGAACCUUCAUUACCAGCAGAAUCAACAACAGAAACCAUCCGGGGAAACUCCAUAUAAUUCACAUCCGUCAAAUCUAAUUUAACGUCCCCCAGAAAUACACACACAUACAC